CGCUGUUCUUACACAGCCAAGAAAAGUGCUACUGCUGUAUUACGCUCUUGCUUGCAAAGCUCCCCCAUCCCAAAGUAACAGCUUCAUACCACAGUCAAGCACAACCACGGUGGAAAGGUUCCUCCAGGAAGACAGGUAAUACGGACAAGGAUCGUGCCCAUAUUGUUCACCAAUGGACCCUCGGUGCCUGGCACGUGG